CCUGCUCUUGCUCUUUUCUUUAUAACAAAUAAGUAAACUAGUUGUGAAUGACCUCGGGUGUAAAAUUUUUGUAGUAAUUUAGAUUAUGUCAGUAUUAGAAUACACUAAUUCUUGGUCUGUUAGAAUACUUUGCGACUCCCUAAGGAAAUACCAGGUGGAAGUGGUGAGAAACCGUUAAACCAGUGGUUAAGAAGAACAUCUGAAUGCAUGUAUAUUCUUGGAAACCUGUUUUACCACAAACAUUUGAACCUGAAAUGCCAGAUUCAUAACCCAACAAACUGAUUUGUUGUCGACUACUGUGCUCACACUGGUUCAGAUGCUGUGCUUCUCCUGUGAGAAACCUGUGCAAGUUUCCAGAGUGUAAGAGAUUACUGCUGCUCAGGGAGCAACAUCACAGACGCAGUAGAGAUAAGUGGAUUUGUGCCUUAAUGAUUCCCUUUACUCCAUACUCUUCUCCUUUAAGCAAAUGAAAUCUGUAUAAGAAAUGACUCUAUGUAAAGUUAAAGUGGGGGAAGAAAGGGUUGAAAUAAUAUUCAGAAAGCCAUUCUAAGCUAGGUGCGAGCCUGGAAGUGAUGUCACUAAAUAAUAUGUAAAUUCUCUGAAUUUUUACAUCCUUUCCAAAAGAACUCUUCUCCCCAGAAAAUUCCCUUCAUUGCUUGCUUUAGUUAGGUUUACAGUGAAUGUUUGUGUCAUAAGUCAUACUCUGUUGACCAAAGGAACGGUUGCUAUUGACUGCAGUCAGAAGAGAUUGAAACUUUGGUUCCUUUUGAAAGAAAAGGAAUUGUUACUGUGCAGCAAAGCUGAUCAGCUGGGUGAAAGGGACAUUUUCUACAACUGACAGGAGGCAACCAGAGGUGAAUGUCAGGGAGCCUGAAUCUGGGGAGCAGGGCAGCCACCAAGUCUUGACAUCUCAGCAUCUGCUCCUAUUUGGUAGACUCCUGUAUUUACUGCUGCAGCACUGACUUUGCUUGUUAGGACUACAACUGCUGGUUCAGGGGUCUGCAACACCAGCAUGUUGGAAGAGGUAGGACUGUUUACAGACUUAGUAUUAGGUGUACAUUUAAACAAUUCACUAAUUCAAGCUUCUCAUCCCAGUUUUCUUCCUGAGAAAAAAUACUACUUUUGUCUAUAGCAUGCAAUCAGAUCUGCAUUUAAUCUCACAUUGGCUGAUGUGUACUACCCCCCAGCAUGUAAAGGAAAUGCUUACAUACAAAUAACUACCUUUAUUUUAGGGAUGUGACUUGCUUCACUAAUUCCCCAGGAUAUUUAUUUAUAAAAAAUUACUUUCAGAGCCUUUUAGUGCAUUGACCUUGUUUCAGGGUUUAGAUGGGAAGAGGGAGGGCUGGAGUUUUUUCUUAAACGCUGCAGGGGAUUUCUGUCAGGUUGCUUUAACACUUCGUCUCAGAUUCUUGCCAGGCUUUUGGGCUAAAGAAUUUUCAAAUGCAGCUAGCCGUCAUCACAUAGCUCUUGCGUUUGUACAGCAGUAUCUGCAGAAGCCUAUCAAAUAUGGGCUAAUGCUGAGAUGUCAAGGCCUUGGUGGCUGCUCUUUGUUUUAUAAAUAUAAAAUUGAUUUGGCUUUCAUGCGAUGAGAAAGCAAGAGGACUUAAGAAUAGAGGCACCAGAUAAGCAUCAUAAAUGCGUACAUCACUUUUAGUGUAUCAGGUGUGGAUGUUGUAGUGACCACUCUAUGGACUGAGUCUGUGCAUUAUAGCAGUUUCCUAUGCAAAGAUGCGGAAUGUUGUUAUUCCCCUAAAGAGCAGGAGAGCAGAGAAAGGGAUGUGCUGUGCUGCUGAAUUUUCCUUUCAAAAACCUAAGGGUUUCAUAGCAAUAGGUCACCACAUUUAGAAUCACUAAAACACUCAUGCUGUAAAAACACAGAACUCGUAGUCUUCUUUACCCCACUGAGGGUUAGCACUGCAAGGGCUGUUAACGAUUCCUUUAGCUUUCUCUUACUGAGUGUUUUCACAUAUAUAUCUACGGAAAAUGAAACAUGAUAUAACAUGCAUGGAAAAUAGAAGCAUGUACUACCCAAACCUCAUUCUCCAACUAAAGUAUCUAUUGUUUAAUAACAGAAGGUACGUAGGGAUUUUUUGGGUGGAUUACUGAGUUGAAGUGUAUUUCGUGCCCCCAAAAUAACAGCUUACAUGCAGACCAUAGGUGUCCAACCUUUUGGCUUAUCUACGCCUUACUGAGCCCAAGAGGAAUCAUCUUGGGCUGCAUAUAAAAUAAAAUAUGUAACAAAAAUUAUUUUUAUUAUUUUUUUUAGUAAAACAUUUUAAAAGGGAAACAAACACACAAGACUAGUGGGUUGGACACAUGAUCUAGGCCAUGAGAAGGUCCCACAUAUCUCUGGGCAGCAACUUUGGAUUAAAGGAACUCUAUUGAAAUGGCAAAUUCCUACUAUUUCUCACAGUAGAGCAGGUAGAACUGUUAUUCUCUCCUGUUACUUCCUGAUGUUUGAACUCAGUCCCUCAUUCCUCUACCAUUGCUUCUCGGUGUCACCCAGGGCUAUACAUAUGGCAACUGCACACACAGUCCUACUUGCAGAUGGGGCUUAGGCUAAAUGCUAGGCUUUGUGGCAUUUCUGUGCUAAUCUCUGAAGGCUUUUGGAUACACCCCUGAGGCAGUGCACUUCUAGAACCCCUGCUUGGCCAAACAGAAGUUCGGCUUCCCUGGGGUUAAAUCCCAAGAAGAUUUCAGUGGUAGUUAAGUUGGAUGUAGGCAGGUGGAAGUGUACAGCACUGCAAAAUGUAACUCCAUUGCCUCUUGGUUUUACUAAUGCCUCAAAGGAGGGCUGGCUCAUUCUAAGUGCAGUGCAAUAUCUAAGUAGAAAAAGAGAUGUUUGGAAAAAUCAUUCAUUAUAUUUUUCAGAAUAAAGCAAUCACAUCUUCCUUAGCAGAGAAUGCAAAGAAAGCUGUAAAUAUCACAGCUGCUCACUGGCAACUAGGAAAAAAAAAGAGUCAAAUUCAAAGCUUGCCACUUCUAUUCACAGUGAAUGACUUAGGAGUCAAAAGAAGAACAGGGUGUGUACAGUCUGAAGAGAAUAUUGCUGGUAAAAUUCUAAGGAUGCCUCCUAAAACUGGCAAUUGCUCACCAUGUCAGCUGGAAUAAAGUUUGUCACAUUGUAUGUCCAGAUGCAAUAUGGUGAUAUAUGCAAUUUCAGUCACUCUUUCCAAAUUGUGGGCUUUAUCUGAAAUGCUCUCAUACCCCAAACUGUCUGCAUUUUCAUUAAAAGAAUGAAUGUUCCUGUCAUCAUCUUGGUAGGAACGCCAACAGGAAAUAAGCUACCUCUAAAUGAAAAGAUGCAUUUUAUUGUUUGCGAAGCUGGGGAAAUAUGAGUCAAACUUACAACUUGGCUGGCAGGUGGUUUGUUUGGAGUAUGGAAUUAGUGCCUUUGUAGGGGUCUGACAAAUAGCCUGGGGUCUCAGACAAUGCACUGGCAUCCUGGUGGCUGCAUGAUCUUACAGAGAGCAUUAACUUCCCUGUGCCUCAGUUUCUUCAUCAGUAAAACUGUGAUAAUCAUUUUCUGCUGGAGUUUCCAGCUAAUAGGCUUGUUAUGCCCUGCAAAGCACUCAGAGAUCUCCAUCUGGAACAAACUACAGAAGUGCAAGUAUUAUUGCUAUUAGAAGUCCAUUACAGCUCUGUUUUGCUUUGUUCGUACUGGCCCUUUGGUACGUGCAGCUAGACAGCUCCUAAUGUUAUCUUGAUGCACAAAGCACUUUUUGUGUGAGGUUUGACUCACACUAAAAUGCCAGUUAGAAUUUUGUCCUCGGGAACUCACUGGAGCUUGGCUUACAGAAUCUGAAAAUUAAAUCAACCAAAAUAGGUCAAACACAAAACUAUAUGUCCUUAUGUGUCCUCUUGUCCUCUUUAGCAGUAUAGCGCAUAGUUGUUGUUUUCUUAUCUGUAAAGUUUGGGCCUGUUUUGUUCCUCAGCCAGCUUUGCUACUGAUAUCUUGGUUACAUUUUGAAUACCUGCUCUUGAGAAUUUUCUGUUCCCAUUAAAUAUAGUUUAGAAGGACACGCUCAUCUGUUAGUGGUCCAGAAAUAACGUGCUGAAUGCACCAGCAGCUGAUGCGACUGAACGCGAUACAAAAGUGUAUCAUUCUGUUAGAGUUUGUUGGUAGGCAUCAUUAUGGAAAUGUUUUUGAGCCUUAAAAAAGGGAAUAGUGUAUCGGAAAUUGAAUCAAACGUUAACAGAAGCUGCAGUUUGUGGUUUACUUUUCCCUCGUAGCUAGUUCUUUAGGAAUUAUUCCUGUUCACAUAAUCCUUUAAGUUAAUGUAUUUAUUCCGUGCGUGCUUUAUAAUUUCUAUUCAUUCAUAUGUCAAGUAGCUGAAGGUGCUGCUUCAAUUAGUAUUUACUUCAGUGUUAUACUGUUUUGAAUUGGUUGUUUGUUACAGUCACAAUGCAGUGAAUAAACGUGUUAAUAUUUGAAGUGGGAAGGGAGGUAAAAUGGGAAACCGUCUGCUCCAGUCGCGGCCCAGCUUUCUGGUUACAACAUAUUAUAAUUUAUUUAAACCCAAUCAAUACUUAAUCUGGAGUUUAAAUUCCGCUAAAGAUCUGUGGCAUAGCUAAAAGCAGCUGAUGCCAAAGAAAAAAAAUUUCUUCAGGCUGUGAUUCUGAUGAAUUUAUAAUGCGCUCUAAGGGUGAUGCAUUGACCUAAAUUCACAGAAGCGCCGCAAUUCGUAUUUAUUAUUGUGAAAGGUGUCCUACCAACACUUUUCUUCUUCUGAAUGUUGAGAGCCUGUGUGAGAAAGAUGGGCGGCUGCAGAGGAAGGAGCUGCACGCACAGCCCGGGAGGGUGGGAUGGGACUGAGCGCGGCCCUGUGCCGCACACCGGGCGGUGAGUCACUGUGACCCCGAGAUUCAAGGCAGGAAUUAAUUCAGCACUGCAAAAAUCUGGCAAAUGUUUGAAGCCAGCAGUGAAAGCAGACUUCCUGAGAGGUGUGUGUUUGUGGUGACAAUUUGGAUUUAUUUUUCUGGCAAUGCAAAAGACAUUGUUACGGCAGGAAGAAGACAGUUGUGUUAAAAACUGCUUCUCUUUUUUAGUUCUCCCCCCCCCCCAGCCUUUCUGGGGAAAUAGAUUUUGAUCUCUGCGGCAUUUGGUUUUCUCUGUACAGCUCUUUAAACUCCCCCAGGCACAGCCAUCUCAGGGCAGGCCCCAUGGGCAGCUCCUACCAGCACUGCAGGGAUGUGCACACACCAUUCUCUUGUAAGGUCUGGGCAACCUCAUAUUUCCCAGCACAUUUUGGCAAGCUUUUACUCAGAGUGGUCCAACAGCUUUUCAUAGUAAGUGAAUGACUUCCCAGUGACCUGAGCCCUCUUCCAAGCCUCCUUUGUCACCCUGACAGCUUGCAGUCAUGCUUUUCUGAUCUUGUGCAAAGCUAUAUGUUUUACCAGAUCUGUAACUGCAGGAGACUUGGUUGUUCUGAAAAUUAACUGGAUGAAUAAGGGAAAUGUAUAGUGGAUAAAGGCUGACAAUCAUCCCCACUUCUUUUAUGAUACAAUGCCCUGUCCUCACGAGAAGGGAGAAGAGCUCAAUUCUCCCUCCUAAUUGAUAGGUGCAUACUUGUCAGAUGUGGUUUCCCCAGGCAGUCUGUAAGGCAGGACUCACCCCCCCCACACACCGUUCAUCCCCAGUCCCUCACCUGUGUGCUUCUGGGGCAUCACAUCAGACACUCUCCCAGCAUGUGUCUUCUUGCUCUAUUUUGUGCCCGCCUCUGCCCAUAUUGCUGCUGUAGUGGUUUAUGCCAGAAUAAAUAUGGGCUAGCAUAAAUCCUCAGGCUUGGAAGGCAUUAGCCUGCCUUUACUGUAGCACAAUCGACAGCUGUACCUGGCACCACGACCUCAUUGCACCCCAGCGUGGCAGCAUCCAGAGCCUUGAUGCAUUGGAGGAGCAGAGCCACAUGCUUGCUGAGGUUUGUUCCUCUGGGCUGGCCCUGAGGAUGAGAACAGCAUGCAAACACAGCUUCUCAGCAGGAGCAACUAUUAGUUUCAGCUUUAACCUUUACUUAAAAAUAUGAAGCUGCUGAGCAAAAAUGCAAAGGCUUAGUGUUCAAACUCACGCCUAACUCAGAGAGCUGGGUUCCUAGAACCAACUGUGAAUUUCAGUUUAGCAGCAAGGAAGUUUAUGUUCAACUUCAGUUUUUCUUCCAGCUAUAAUGCUCAAAGGGAGUACUUCAGUAUCUGUCUUGCUUUUUGUUAGGGAGAUGAAACAAAACAAAACACCAUUUGUCAUAAUUCUUUGGGAUUGCUAUUAUGGCCAGGAGAAAAGCGGGCUUCUGCUAGUUCAUGUACGAGUCAAAAGAAAGGCAUAUUCCUUUCCCCACAGGAUCCCAAGCGGAAGAGUUGGUGGAUGGGUAAGAUAAAAAUGGGUAUAGAUUGUGAGAGACAGGCUGACAAAAAAAAGUGCGUGCAGUUUUUUCACUAUUCUAGAGCAGUAAUUGUACUUUGCUUACAUACCUAAGCAUGUUUAGGUGGCAAUUUUCUUUCCUUGUAACAGAAGAGGUGACUUUCAAGAGAAUAAUCUGAAGGAGGUUGUGGUGGAUGACUGUUUUCCUUGUUGUUGGUUUUUUUUGUUUGUUUGUUUUGUUUUGUUUCUUUAAAUUCAGAAUGUUUUUUACCAGGUCAACAGGCCAAUUUCUCUCCAUUGUUCACAAAGCUAUUGGGUAUUUUUUUUUCCUUCCCACUGUGCCUUGAAAAAACAACUUCACUUAAGUUCAUGUGUGAAACCUUUUGCACAACAGAAGUGGUUUCUUGUGGCCAGUAAGACUAAAUGUUCUGAGCAUUCCAGGAAGCAUAUAAAUAGACUGAUACUCUUCCUAAGGUUAUAGAGCAUUAUUUCUCCCUUUUUUUCUUUAUUUCUCCUCCUGUCCUACUCCCCUACCUUCAGCUACGCUCUCUCCAUCUAGGCAAAGACCAAACAAAGUGCAGUGUUUGAAAAUCCUGACCAUCAUUUUCCAUUUUACUUGGGUUUUUCUCAGUUACAUGUUCUGAAUAGAAAUUGUUCGAGUAAAUGCAGCACAGUAAAUUAUCUUAAAUUACUUCUUAUAGUCCAGACUAGUAUUAUAACAUGAAAAUUGUUACUUGGAGUCUCCCACGCCCCUGGCUGCUGCAGACCUGUGUCUCCAGGCUGGGGAGAAAUGGAUCACAGUACUUAUCCAGCAGAGCCUGCAGGCCAAUCCACAAUGUGGAAAGUGGAGUUCACAUAAAGGAGGUCUCUUAUCCUUUCCUCUCAAUCCUGCUAGAUACAGCAAAGCUGUCACAAUGGUCAAAUAUAAUUAAAAUGGUGAUCUGCCACUGAAGGGUAGGCCAAUGUCUAUGCAGAAACCAGAUGAGGAAUUAUUCAAGCCAAAAACAUUAAAUCUCAGCUCAUCCGUGGUUACCAUAAAACAGCCAUCCUGUUCCUUUGAUCUAUGAUGAAUUUGAAUGUGUGUUAAUAAGACAUAUAUGCUGGGCAUCAACAUCAUCUUCUGUUGAACGAAGGUAAACACUGCAUUCGUCUCUGUAAAAUAUACUUCAGUAGUUGGGAAGAAAGUGGAGAUUCAUUAUUUUUGCAGUUGUAGAAGACAUUUAGCAGCUGUGUUUAUACUGGCAGACAAUUUGGAUAUUAGGUGGCAGGACAGAGAACUGCAGAUGCACGAUAUCGUGCAGACAUUGUGCACUUACAGCACAUUUCCAGGGAAACAUGUUAUUUUAUAUUUCCCUUGGUGUCAUUAAUCACGUUUCAUGAUGUAUCUCACUAUUUCAACUCAUUCCCCUAGAUUCAUUCAUUUUUUUGGCCUGUUUAUUUAAUAGUUAUUGAGCUCCAUUUCAACAAAUUCCAUCUUAACCACAGAUAAUAAAGUUCCUUUUGCUUCAGGGGAGAAAAUUAAGAUGGCCCUGUACUGAUUUCAGGGACUACCUGUAAUAGUCAGCAUGUCUGCUGCAUCAGAAAGAUACUUUGUUUGCCUUUGGUCAGAAAAAUGUUCAUGCUGUUCUUUGCAACUUAAAAAUUAAACUCAUUUCCUGAAAGUAAAAAUAUGAUUCUUAUCUUGAACUAUAAAGGAAAACAGCUGCACUUUAUUCUGUUCUCGAAGUUCUCUAAUCUCUCUGGAGGCUUUGUUUUGGUUUCACAGGUGAAUCCCUUAAACUGCAGCAGCAAUGAUGGCUCCUCCUUGGCAGAAACAUGCUGAGAAGCAGUUGGGAAUCCCCUGCUCUGGAGCUGCAGCCUGAGGAACCUCAGCGUGUAAGAAGCGUCUCUGAGGCACUCACAUGGUGAUGGUUAUACAUCUCCUGCUUACCCCAACUUAGUGAAAGCUGUCUUCAAGCAAAUAAGACUGGCAGCAAGGCUGGGAGUGCAAUCACCUGCUGGCAUAAUCCCUGGACUCUUCUUAAAGGAAUUCUAAAAAGGGAAACUCAGGAAUGCCUACCUGACUGUCCAGAGAACUGCCAUCCAGAGGAGCAUCCUACAGCAGCACAAGCAUUUCAUCUUCUGGAUUUGUGGAGACAUGUGGGAUUUGUUCAUGCUGAAGGCAGGAGGAAGUCAAGGGAGAAAAAAAGAAUUCUGGGAGAUUUUAAAAACAAAAAUGAUUCUCACUAGGAAACUUGGUAAAACCGAAGAUCCAAAGUGAAACAUCAGGAAACAUCACCAAAAUGAAGCCCGUUGGAUGUUUGCAGCUGUUUCUUUAGUCCUGAUUAACAGGGAUUUUCUGAGAAGAGCUGCACAAGUGCAGUCCCCAUUCAACGUACAGAUUUUCCAGAGUGAUCUCCAAGUUGUAAUGGACAACCUCUUUCCUGCCAGCAGAGCCCAGAGAGGAAUAAACCAAGACCACCAGCUAAGUCAUUGUGUAAUGUGCUGUGGAUAUGAGCAUCGAAUGCCCUCAGUGGCAAUGACUCAGGACCAAAUCAUCCUUUUGCGGGAAUUACCUACGAAGGAAACUGGACGCUCCAUGGCAUCUGUGUCAUCCUUCCCUCCAGAUGGUGCCUCAAAAUCUGUUCUGAAAUGGCAUGUGCAAAGCAGACCCAGAGUGCCUAUCAUUCAGCCCUCUGAUGGCAACUCUCAGACAACUCGGGGACAGACAGAACACAAAACCAGAAAUAAGGACUUGCAACCGUGGCUGAAGAUGCCCAGAGAGUCGUGUAUGUAACAGCCAGCGAGAGGCAGAUGACAGCAACAAGAAAUUUCACAGCUCCAAAGAGUGAACGUACCACGGAUUAGUACCGGAGACAGAAAUACUUCUAUGAAAACCAUGAAGGAAGUUCCGGAAUCUAGAGUAACUCUCGGAUGCACAGAACUGGAGACUUAAAAGAUCCUCAGUUCCCCCAGGACCUGAGCAUGUAGAAACGUGGGGGCCUGGCUGUCCUUCUGGUCUGCACGCGUGGCCUCAAGCCCGAAUCCCUACAACAGCAUCUCCACUGACAGCAAAGUGCUUCUUCGCCCUUUACCACUGAACUGCUGUGGCUUGAUUGUGUGAAACUGAGUUUCAGGAUGCAAGAUACUGUUCAGAUAGUUCUGCAAUACAUUCUUCAGACCCAGCAACUUUGGCAGGCCCGUGGAUGAUGGAAUAACCAGAUCUCUGCGGCCACCCCUGAAAAACAGAUUCUUUCUUCUGGAUUCCCUGGGAUUCUCUCAGCAGCCAGCCUUGUUUACAGAAGUCAGCGCGGACAGUAACAGCCCUUCACCAAUGAGCCACAGUGGAACCUUUGGGGAAGGCUCCUCACGGUGCUCUGUCAUCUGCUGACAAAGUGGUGCCAGGACCAGAACUUCACAAUGAACUCUGCAGAGAAAAAUCCACAGCAGAUGAAGGAAUCUCGAAGUCAGUGACAGGUAGACUCAGGCUUAAAGUGAGAGGAUCCCCCACGUCACUGGUUUCAACUAGAGGAUACGUCUGUGCUAUGAGAAUACUCAGUAUGAGAAACGUGCUGCGAAACAGAGGCAGCCAGUUGGAGCAGUGCUUCAGACUAAGCUGAGGUCAGUUUUAGAAUCACAGAAUACUUCAGGCUGGACAGGAACUCUUGAUGUCACCUCAAUCCACGCCCUGCUCAAAGAAGGUCUCACUACGUCAGAUCGCUCAAGGCUGCAGCCAGUCAAGUUGAACCCUCAAAUGGGGAGCCUCUGCUGAAUGCUGGUUACUGCAAGAUUCUUAGUGGUGCUAAAAUCUGAACAGAAUCUGGCCUUUGCUCUUUCAUGUACAGCAUUUGAUUAAUUGUGAUUCCAAAAGGUUCAGGCACCCAAGUACGUGCUUAUGUGAGUGGGAGUACAACGUACCUACGCCUACCUACGUGUGCUUACCUACAGACAUUUUUAUUUUCAAUGUUCUGAUUCCAGCGGCCUUUUCAAGAGACAAAAGAAAGUUAAAAUUAGAGCCUAAAAACAAUGGAUUUGCAGCAGCCAGCACAAUGCCAGUCUGCACUGUUGUGAAAGACCUGUGCAUAAACAUUCAUAGGGAUGAAUUCAGAGGUGAUGGGCAACACAGACUGAGGAAAAGGAGCCCAGAGAGUAGGUAAUAAUAAAGAAAAUCAUGAAAAGAGGAAACAGAGGAGGAAAAGCAGCUAAGUGAAAGGUAUGUAACACCUAAUCUAAAGCACAUUUCUCUCUCCUUCAGCGCACACAAAACUUUUACCGGUUCCUUUUUAUGGUUAUUGAAUGCCCACAUUACCUGAAAGUGGAAUUUAUUGUGCUGAGUGUUAAACUCUAAGUUUUACAAAUAAGCUUCCGUACAAAAAUAUUUAUUAUCUGUAACGUACAUCAUCAGCUCUUACACUCCCACUGCGUUCAUCCAUUGUCUCCCAAUACAGUUACCGUGAACGUAUGUCAGAAUAUACGUCAGCCUCAGAAAUACACACUUGUACUGCAGUGACUAUUUUCUAUUCCUUAUUUCUUUGCCUCUAUUUUAAACAACGGAUGCGUACGUUUGCUUAGAACCUAGCUUCUGAAACAGAAGGACAGAAUUACUGGUUCUGACAGCUGUGAAAACAUUUCCAUAAUACAGAAAAUCUAAAUGCCUCUUCAUUCAAUCACUUUCUCAAUGAAAACAUCCCAGGAUUAAAGAAAUCCAGGGAAAGAGAAAAGAUUAACCUAGAAAAGGCAAAUAAGCAAGUGAAUAAAGCUGGGUUUAUUGCUUCCUGCUUCAACAGUGUCCAACAAGAUCUGGGCCAUGGUGCCACAGCUUUCACACGCGUGUGCAGUGGACACAGCUCCCCUGCAUGCAAACAAUGCACCAGCUUGCAUGAAGUGAAUUGGGGCCAGCACAAUUGUUUGAAGGAGGAGGGAUGCACAGUCCCUGGAAGCACAGAAGUGCCUUUUCUCUCUGGUUUCAUGCAGCUGACAUACCGAGCAGAGGAGCCAGAGAGAACAUGUAAUGGAAAUAAAUGACUUUGCAGACCCAACGGAAGGAGGUGGGAGCGAAAAAGCAUCCUCACCCCCUGCCCGGCGGCUGCGUAAAUCUGUCCCUGCCAGGAGAGCUCCGGGAGGUGCUCAGCGGCCGCCUCCCCAGGAGUCAGUGAGAGUUCAGGUGCUUACUGUGUCAUCAGGCUUGACCUUCACAUGCGACACUGCCAGGACGUUUGUUUUCCCACAGCAGUGAUUGCUUCAGUCAAUUAUUAUUGCCCAUCGUAGAGUGCAAACACAUAAGGGCUUGAUUUACAGUGCAAAAAUAUACAUCCUGAAUUUACUUCCUCUUUUGUUUUUGGACUGUCAUAGCAUCUCCACCUUAAAGAGAUGACAGCAAAUUACUUCAUAGGUAAAUAUAUGUAUGUAUAGGGAAGGAUAAAUAGCAGUCAUUCGGGUCAUUGUGAGAUGAACGUUCAGUAUAGCUUCAGAUCGGCUGUGUCAGACGUGACAAUAUAUUUUAAGCUUUUUGUUUUAAAAUUUUCAUUUUUUCUGCUUUUCUUUGAAGAAAUCAUCAUUCGCAAAUUUUGCAAGUUGGCAAUCUAACCUCUAAAUCCAUUCUAACGCAGAUUUAAGAUUGUGCAUUCAGUUCCUUAAGCAAUGUUUAGGUAUUACCAAUAUACUGAAAGAUAGAUGAGACAGCCUCAUGGUAAUACAGCUUUUAACCUUUCCUCUCCUCUACCAUGACGGGGGAGAAUUACAGUAAAUGAUGGUUACCUUGUCUGCAGUAUGGACAAUUGAUUUGACCUCACUGCAUCUGAUGCUCUAAUGGACUUUGUGGCUGAAUCCCUGGAGAUAUAAAAUAUGUCCAAGUGAAUUGGGGCAGGUUAAAGAACGGACCUGCUUUUCAUGGCUGGCUCAAGCUAUAAUAGAUCUCCCGGUUGUUCUGAGAAGAAGAUUAAAAAUGAUCAAUAUCCAAAUCAUUAAAAAAAAAAGCGGUGGCUUCUGUAAAUCUACCAUAGGUGGGUUUUUUUCCUGCUAAACGCCGGAGGAGGGUGUCUGGGUUGAUAACGUGAGUUUCCAUAACAAAUGUUUACUUCUGUUUACUCUCUAGUAACAUGUUCCUUUUUAUAUUAAGACUCAGACACACAGAUGGCGUGAUUCAGCACUGCUUUCCUGAAGUCAUGCUUGUUUACACCAUGAAGAGUCAGGCCUUAGGUUUAUUUAAUAUAGAUAAAAUAACAAUACUAUAAUAUUUCCUGAAGCAGAAAAUAAAAUCAAGGACAGAUUUCAGAGAAUGAUGGUAACUGUUAUAACUGUGAAUGUCCUCACAGUUCUGCUAGCCACAGUGUCUAAGACAAAAAUAAAGGUUUAAUUUAGUGAGGAAAAUAGAAAAAAAAGAUUUUCCUUGGCUGCUCUGAGUCCUUCAUUUGGCAAAGUGCAAUUGAACAUCUUGUUUAUCCUUUCCCACCCUCUCACGAACAUCUCUGCUCUUUUCUCACCAGCACACAACUGAGCUCAAGGUGAGUGUAAGUCUGUCCAGCCCCUGGAGGUGCCAGGAGAAAAGCUUUCACAGCCCACAGCUGGGAGCUCACCCACAGACCUUCCUCUCUACAUACAGCAGCAAUGGGGCAGGCAACUUCAGUGGGCUUAUACGUAUGCACAUGCUUAGCUUCCUGUAAAACCCAUGCAUUAAGGAGACAGAUGCACAGCUGUUCCAUUUGAGGCAUGCAUGUAUUGGUUUGUGCACUUAUUCAGUAAACUUGAAAUGCAGAGGAGCCCAAAUCUCUGUUCUGAACAGUUUGAGGUUGUUUGGAUCUGACAUCUCUGUGCGUUCACUGACAGAAAUAAGCUAAUUAUGAACCUGUGUUGGAAGAGGGAUGCCCUUUUUCUGAGUUUUGAGAAGUGUCUGGGCAGAGUAAUUGGACUGCCCUAUCUCAACUGCGUUACAGCAAUCGAGCAAAUGCGAAAAAUCUUCCUUAGAAAGGAAGAAAUAUGUGUUUUUAAGUGCUAGGACAAUUCCACGUAACAUCACGGUUUGCAUCUAUACCCACAGUACGCAGAGAUUCAUGCAGAUGUCCAACAAAUUGAAAAGGCUUCAAAUAUAUUUUAUCUAGUUGUAUGUCUAACAGUAUUUACCUUUUGCCUUUCACAGGUUGCUUUAAAAUCUGACUAUGUAAUAACAUCCUCUGAAUGAUUUAAUUUAAGCUAACGUGCUAUCCCUUUAUGUAAAAAGUAAAGGUAUUUUGAAAGCCCUUGCUGAAUACUCUGAGGUUGCCUCUACUGUGUGGCUAGCACUGGGCUGAAUGCCUAGCAUCCGUGCGUAGAAGAGGGAACAACUGCUGCCCCUCCGAUCUGGCUAUUCUUGUAUCUGGAAACAUUGUCAGGUGCUACAAGCAUCACGCCAUCUGAAAGGCCAAAGUUGAGUACUACGUUAUUGGAGUAGAUGACACCUUAUUCUUAUUCUUCAACAAUUCUAACAACUUAGAGUCCCUCACUGUCCCUUUAUGAACACAGAUGUCAUUCUGAGGGGGGGGACAGCCAAAAUGACAAGAAGGUGACCUGUCGGUGAACUCAGGAGCAGGUGAGGCCUGUCAGCUUCUAAUUUGAAACUGGUGUCAGUCCUGAGGAAUGGCUGGUAUAAUCACAUUUGUAACUGAUAUCCUAUAAACGCUGCAAACAUUCACAGUGCGCCUGUUAUGAGUAAUAUGAAAUUAACAAUUCGUGUUUAUGACACAAGACACCGACCGAAUCAAGCAGGUCUCCGUAACUGGAUCAGCUCCGUCUGUCUGCCAGAGCAGCGCAUCGAACUGCUUCAACCAAAGCCAAAUUACUGUGUGCUUAUGUUACAAUAGGCAUUGUAUUUAUUUUGAAGACAAACUUUUGUAACUAGGCGUAAAGUGAGGACCUCAGAACCAGCUUCUCGCUCAAGUUAUUGCAUAUAAAACUUCUCUUGCUCGAGCCCAGCCAUUAAGAUGUUCGUGACUUUUAAGAGUUUGGGACCUAACAAAUCACGUGUUGUAUCUCACAUUUUCUGAAUAACUGAAGGGAAGGCUCUGUGUAAAUCUUCUCUCUCAGACACAUAAAUUACCAGCUGCGUGAAUACUGCCAUUAAGACAAGCAGACAAGUGCGAGGGGUGGGGACAGGGCAGGAUGCCCCAAAGAGGUGGAGUUACAGAGAAAACAAGGCAUUUGCUUACUGAGUAAUUUAUGCUUCAUCUGCCUUCACUGUAGCUCAGUAAGAAUGAACACCAUGAGGCAGUCUGUCAGGCGCUCUCACUUCACUACCGCCAAGGCAUUUUUCUGCAAAUUAGGUAUUUGCUUCCUAUUUCUAGUCACUUCCACCUGGAUUUUUUAUUAGGAAAAGUCAAAAUCAUAGUAUCUGAAGCUAAGAUUUGAAUUGAAGUUACACUAAAAGAUAAACUGUUGCUCAAGUAUAUUUCACAUUUGAAGACAGCAAAAUCUCACAAUCCUUUGCACAAUUAUUUCCAGUCCAAACUGACAGAAGCUCUAAAGUUCGGGUCCUUUCCUGCCUGCACUGCUGCUGAGCCUGGUGCAUAGAUUAGAAGUUCCUUUCCAAUAACAAGCAAAAUAAAAGAAGAACCAUACGAAGAAUCUAUUGCAAUUGUUACACUGGAAUUUAGUUAGCAGAGCUACAAAAACGCAAGUCCAAAUCCCAAGUAGCUAGUGGAGAUUUCUGAACAGUUCUGUACACCUUCACGUAGACAAUCCAGUGGAGCUAACAACCUACUGUAGCACUCUUUUGUGAUAGGCAAAUACCAUUCAUUUCCAUUUUCCACAGAAGAACUGCACUCCACAGAGCUUCAGCAAUGUAAACAAGGCCAGGUACAGCAUUACAGCUGUGGUUCAGGCAACAACAUUCCUUGUCCUCUGACACAACACUUACACAUCAUACUUGUAACACUACCUAGUUCAAGUUGGUGGUCAAUACCACCUAAUUAGCAGAGUAAAAGUGCAAUUUUGAAACCAACUUACAAAACUGCUACAACCAACCUACAAAACUCCAUCAUACCAAAGAAAAAUUAUGGCUCUAAAUUUCACAAUCACUCUCUGCCAACCAAAAACUCACCUUUAAGAAGAGUCAGGGCUGAAAGCUGAAAGUUGAGGCAGUCAUCUCUCAACGUGUAGAACUCCUCACGUUGCUACGAAGGUACAGCACGGUUGUUCAGUGUUUGGAUAAAGUACUGCAUGGGAACUGUUGAAUCACAGCCUGAACCACCAAUUGAUCACCUGAGGCAAGGACUGAAUCAGCUGUGGGAGCACAGGUGAAAGCAAUUCAGCUAUGUGACCAGAAGCUGUGUGACCACAUUCCACCCCUCCCAGACCCCAUUUAAGGGCUGACUAACACUGGGGAAGAAUCUCCUUGUGGUGAUCCCUCCUUUGUGGAGCUUUUCAGUGUGAGCCUAAAUCUUUGCAUACAGGUGAGCAGUUCUUCUCUGUUUGUUCCUUUGCUAUCUCACUGCAGUACUCUUUCCAACUGUGCUUUGUAGACUAUACAACUACUUUGGUGGCUACUCAGAACUGAUAACAUAUGUUUUAAUUUUCCUCCUACUUGCACAGGUAUAAUUAUAUUAAUUCCCCACAUAGUUUAUGAGAAGAGCCUGCCCUGUGGAACAAGACCCAGCACAGCAGCAGGUUCCUGCAGCACCAGGUCAGCUCCAGAGGCUGAUAUCAGCAGCACCACCUCACAUAGCUCCUAGAGCUGGUAGGGUGCAGUGCCUCAGCUGGAUUGCUGCUGUAGCUUACCUGCAGGAGCCUUCUGCAUCACUGGUCAUAUAAAAUGCUCCUCUGCCAACAGAUGGAUUGCUUAUCGUUUUGAUUACUGGCUGUAAAUGUUCGUUAUUUUUUCAUUUCCUAGCUAAGCAAGCUUAUGUGUGUAUACAUUUUCUACAGUUUUCAUUAGAGUAACACUAAGACCUGGCAUAAGGCCAGGAGAGAGAAACUUAGAAUUAUUGAUUAAAAAAUACUCUUAGUUUCUUCCAGACCUUCAUUGUGACCCUCAUACUCCUGACGUUAAGGAGCAGCUGGCACCCCUCAGCUCAGCCCAUUACCUGUAGGGCUCCCCUGAGCAUUCUGCACCCACCUGGCAGUGCUGUAGAAAGGAGGCUGUAGUGGGUGAUGCUGAGCUUCUGCUCCCAGUGCUGGGCCCAUGUGAGGCUGCUAGAAAACCAAAAGAAAACAUGGAGGGGGGGGGGGGGGAAAGCCCACAAAAAAAAACCACCAUGAUCUGUUCUCAAAGGUGGAAAGUGGAAGAAUAAGACAAAAGCCUCUGUGGUCAGAGUAGACAUCUCUUAAGAUCUUGAGAAAAUUCCCCAUACAUAGAAAGAAGCAGCAGAGCACAUCUGUUUUCAUGACAUAGUUUGGUAAUAUCUUGAGCACUGCACUUCCUCUUGACCUCACAGCACCGCUUUCUGUUCAUACAAUUAAUACGGGGAAGCCACCAUUCCCACCAACUUUCAUUUUGAAGAUAAACAAAAUCACUCCUUUCAGGGUAAUCUUGAAGAAAUGAACUGCAGCAAAUCUACAACCAGGCAUACCCAGUGAAGAGAUGUUGGAGGGAAAAUGGGGAUAUAAAUGUAUGGCCCAAUUCUAAUUUUAUUCAUUUCUAGUACAUUGGGGUAGGCAGAAUUGGAGUAGGAAAAAAAGGAAGUUUGACUUCUGGGGUUGUCUUUCUAUAUCAUGCUGAAUGGAGAGCAACACAGCACAUAAGCUCACUGGGUGGGAGAUGGGACUUGAACAUGAGGUAUUUCUCUAAGCAGCUUGAAUCAAGGGCUUAAGCACGAGCAGCCUGUAUCUCAUCCAGCUCCUGUAACUGCUAUCUUGUGGGGAUUUUAUCCCAGACUUCAUGAAUAUUUAGCGAGGCUUCCAAAAUAAAUUGGCACUCUCAGUAUACACUGAGACCAUGAACCAAUGAUUGGGAAACUAGUCUGGUUCAAAUCCUUGCUCUGCUCCGUUCCCUCGCAGGUGUAGUGACAAGUUCAUAAAUAACAGCUCUUUGCUGACUGUAGGGCUCCCAUACACGAGUGCCCUAAUCAGUGAAGAAUUUUUUUUCCCCUCUAUACAGCAGUUCCAUCUGCUUCAGAAAGUUUCCCCUCAAAACCAAUGCAUUUACAAAGUAAGUGCUAGUUUUGGUGACUCAGUGCUUUCUUUAAAAAGAAUACCACAGUAUUUCAGUCAAAAACCAUAAUCAACAUGAACUGAAAUGACACAGGUUUCUAAGCCCUUGGCUGCAUGGCAGCCUGCGUGCAGCCCCGGGGCAAGUUCCAGCACUGCAGCAGCGACCAAUGAAAAAUCCUUGAAGCAGAAAGGCAGCAUUAAAGCCAUCCAUUAAGCAGUGUUUACGUUUACUGUGAGGUGAAUUACAAAAACUCCCUGGCAGUUUUUGAAAUCUGAGGGCCUAGGAAAGCCAUCUGGGAAUGGUACCUCAGACACAUACUGUUAUCGUAGUAGCAAAAUUGAUGGCUGCAUCUUACCUGCUGGAGCUCUUCUUCUUCUGCUUCCCCAGGAAUCAGCACAGCAAAGGCAGUGGGAUGCCCACAGCCUUUCCUGUUUCUUCUCAUUGGUGUAGGCCUGCAGAAGGACAAUAUAGAUUUAGUCAAAGGAGACAGCAUGGAAGCAGACCUGGAUGCAUGUGACAGAACUGGAGGCAUCCCAGCGUAAUUAAUGAGCAGUGGAGCAAGUUGUUAUUUAUGUUGCCUGUUUCUAAUGAAUGGGAAUUAGUCAUGUCUUUGAUUCUUAGGUGGCUAUUUAUGCUGCUUAUCUGAUAUCUGAAAGGAAACUGUUCUGAAUAUUUUCUAGUCCAAGGAGGACUGGGUGGCUAAAACAAGACCUAACUUGUGCUUUUGGCAAAACAUUAGGAAACUAGUUUCCAAUUUUGGAAGUGUCUGCAUGUAGUUUUCCAUAGGUUUUUUUUCUUUCUUUGAGUUUUCCUGACUUCAGUCAGGAGGUGAAAUGCCAGAAAUACCCAGAGACAACAUAUCCAACAAGACCGCUCCCCCACAGGCACUGCAGCCCACCGGGUGUUUUUCCAAACCACCCCUGAACUCUGAACCUCCAAAUCAUUCACAGAUCUCUUCCACUGGGAGAUGAAACCACAUCGCUGCACGACUGCAGGAAGGAGCAUGGUGGGGAGCCGUGAGGAAAGCUGUGCUUUCCAUUGCCUUCCUGAGCUGGGAUGAGUGGUGGCCGCGCUCGCUGCAUCAGCCUCUGCUCGGGCUGGGCGCUGUGAGGGAUAAGCACGAGCUGGGCAGCAUUAGUCCUGUGGUCACCCAGAGCGUGAGCACUGCCCUGUUUCUGCUCCAGCUGAAGCCUGAAUGGAGCUUAGCUGGGAGAGGCCUCCAUUUCCCAUUACACAAUGGUAUUUUCUGUUAGACACUAAAGCCCUCUGUCCCUGAUGAUAAGCUGGUUUUUAUUAUAAAAUAUAACAGUUGUAUUUUACACAGCUCUUCUGUACAAUGCAAUUUACGGAGCUAUUCUGCUGGCUCUGUCAUUGACAGGGUGCCCUUUACAGCAGGACUUGUAGCACACCAAAAUUUUCAUGAUCCUAAGCUAGCGGGAAAAGAAAUAUUUCCAUGGGUGAAAAUUCCGGUUAGGUAACUAUUAUUGAAGUGUGUACGAGAUUGCAUGUCAAAACAUUUUUAUUGUUGGCUGGUUGGAAUCACAUUGACUGACAGCAGCAGUUUAACAACUGAAGCACAGCGCAGUUUGUUAUUGUACCUGUUUCUCCAUGGAACAGCUCUGUAUUUUAGCAGCUGCUAUCAUUUCUAAGUUACGAAGCCUGCCUUUAGAAAUGUGUGUUCCCUCUCUCCCACUUACAGUACCCUUACUGAGCUGGCACAAGACAAGCGAGUAAUAAAAGGAAUGUAAAGUGUUUUAAUUUUGUCUUGUUAUAUGGCAUUACAUUGCCAUGGCCUCUUGAUAACAUAACAAAUGUAUACAGGAAAUACAGCUCAAGUGAGCAUGGAAACAGUGGGAGGAGAAGGGGUGUUAGGUUUGGUUGCUUGGUGGGGGCUGUUUGUGCUGGCUUUUCUUGGGGGAGCGGGGGGUGGAGGGUGGUUAAGACAGAACCCAAUUGUGUUCCUCUAAUUACAGAGUUAAUGGAGACGCUCCAAACAGAGGAUUAAGUGGAAAGCAGAGUUUUGCAGCAACCUGAGAUAUUAAAAGGAAAACCAACUGACAGAGCAGAAAAAAAGACAGCCAACUUACGGCAACGCGGCAGUAUUUUCCACCAAAAAGUCGCCGUUAAAUCCCCCACAAUUACUCACAGCUAUCGGGGUGCGCAGUGGCCGUGACACCCGUCUGAGCUGCACAUCACAGACACUGUAACUGCUGGGCUCACCUGAAUGUGUUCCCACGUGCCGUGCACUGCUGGCGCUCUCACGGCUCCACACAAUGCCUGCAUUUCACCCGACGUCGCGCUUCAACACCGUGGCAUGGCUGCAUUAGCUGCUGCUGGAGGACAAAUAAGGAAAGGAAACGGGAAAGGAGGCGGAGUCCAUCCCUGGCUUCCUCAUACUUUCAUUUGAAUGGGAUUUGGAUUCUGCCUGUCAUUGUGAAGUAGACUGGAAAAGAGUACUGUCAACACAGAUGAAGACUCAGUGUGAAUAAAAUUAAAAUAAUUAAGUUCUGUUCAACAUCAGUUUGGCCCUGCUUGAGUUGCCAGGACUCCGUACACAAUUUGGGAUGGGGGUUGGGUUUUUUUUUCGUUGACUGUGGUUUCCUUGGUUGGAAUGCUAUGUCUAAGACCACCAUCCAGGAGAAUGAAGGUCUUCCACCCAAGGGCAACAUCUGUUAUCUACACAUUUGGAUAUUGUGUCCAAAACAGGAGAUAUCAGCUUUGGAGGAACGCGAUUUCAGAGUAUGAAGCAGUUCCAAAGACCACUUGGACUUGAUCUCCAAAUGCCUGAGAUAGAUACAAGCCUUGAAAGUGACCCUCGACACCCUGGGAUCUUCUGUGUAAAAGGCUGAAGCACCCAGGGGGUGUAUCCUUGACUGUGCUGCUGAGUCAAUUAAUUACAGUGCUCGAAAUAAAAUGAAGCUUUGGUUAAGGUAGGAAAAGAGAAAAUAGUACUAAGGUUAACAGUUUGUGAACGUAUAUGUUAAAUAUAUGCAUGUCCCUAUACAGCAGGAAAAGAAAAGGAGUUGGAGGAGAGCAAUUCUAUAUCCUAGUGCCUGUUAUCUGGGCAGAGCAAGGAACUGAGGAGACAUACCCAGGAGCAGCCCACGGCUCUGCAGCGUUGCUCACGCUGAUACCCUACUGCAGCCCAGCAGGGUGCCAAGGAGCUGCUGUGGGAACUGGCUGGAGCAACAACAGAGCCCAGCCAGCUCCCUCCCAUUGACAGCAAGCUCAGCAAAGCAUUGAAGCUGGCUGAACUUACACCUUGGGGUGGUUCAGUGUCACCUGCUCAGAAACAAGGAGCAGCUUUGCUAGACCGUCCCAGCAGCACAGAAGUGCCAUCUGGACCUGGGAGAAGUGUGAAUCUUGUCUCAACUACAGAUGAUCCUAGCACUGUGCAAGCAAACACCCUUAAGGAAAGGUAGGGACGAUACAUUUUUUGGCCUUGUUUAGGCAUCAACAUUUGGGUUUUUAUGGAAAAAUGCUUCACAGAAACAAAGGUAUGAUUUAUCUUUUCCUACCUCUCUUCAUUUCAAAACAUGCCUGAACUUGCAUAAACUAUAACACCCAGUUCAAGCUUGAACAGUCACUGUGGUUCAUCUAUUGUAUAAAUGCUUGCAGAUCACACUGUACUGUGUGAUUUUUUUUUCACAGCAUUUAGAAUGUGCAGCUGCAUAUGGGAAUGUAGGAGGGGUCAGCAUUGAAGGGGUUCACAUUCAGCACUGCCUACAGGAAUCCCAAAACUAAAAAUGAGCCAGAGGAGAACAGCAGCACUUAUCCUUCUGUUCACUUAUGGUCAACAUGCAAUUCCAAGGAUCUAUGUCAGAUUUCACAAUUCUACAAAGGCAAUCCUGCAAAUCUUUCAAUUCACAGUAAUAAAUUUGUAGGCACCUGAUGAUGGGAUUGAGAUCUGAAAUGAAUAUUUACUUUUGUUCAUGAGGCAUGUACCAACUAUCUAUAAGCAGUAACCUAAUCAAACUAUCCAUGGAUUUGAAGAAUUCUGUUUGAACAGAACAAUCACAAGAUCUGUAAGCAUACUUAAGUUUUUCUGCCUCUCAUUGAUUUCACCACAGACAGUCAAAUUGAAGUUAGAUCUGUAAAUGCUUGUCCUUAUUGUAUUAUGUCAGAGAUAGAAUUUUGUUCCGAUUAAGGGCACUGCCACCGUGACAUAAAACUAUGUGACAUAAAUUAAUAUAGCAAGAAAGUCAAAAUGUCCAUGAAAAAUAUGUUCACAUACCUUGUCUGUCUUCCCAACCUUUUCUUUGCUUCUUUGAUUUGCUGCACUCCUUCCUAUGUUCUGCUUUGGUCACUCUCAGUAAGAAAAACUCAUUACAGCAAAUUUUCUUCAAAUUGAUGCCAGUUGAUUUAAUUUCAGGAAGAAACAGAACCUUGUUAACAAUGGCUACUUUUUGCAGCUUUUCUGAUUUGAGCUACAGAUACUAAUGUACCACAAGUAUUUAAUAGUCAAUAGUAUUAGGAGUAUGAAUUUGAAACAAACACAGUUUUUGUUCACGAUCUGUCUCGUGCAUUUGGAAUACGUGCCACAGCACUCAGCAGUGACGUUAGCUAUAACUUCUGGGACAAGCUGUUCAUCAGAUGACAGCCUCAAACCACAUAAGAAGCCUCAAUCUUCUGGUCAAAAAGCUAUUUUGCUCUUUUUUUCUAAGGGCUGGGUUCUGCAUGAAGUUCUUGACUAAGAAUAGCUCACCCUGCCUGUCCAACCAUGGGCUGGGGCAAUGCUGUGAGUGGCCCCAUACAACCAUCCCCACACAGCAUUGCCACUCACCCGCUGACCCCAGGCACUCCCUGCUAUUCCAUCCAUGCAGCGCUGUUAUCCCAUAUCCCUGCACACAUAUUGGACAAAUUCAUCUUAUUUUUUUUUCCAAAUGUCACAGAUAUCUGCCCUGUUAUUUAGAUGGAGAAUAACAGACACACACUGAUGUGGAUGUAGCUGUCUGUAUCGCUUCUGAAUACCUCAAGCAGCACCCCUUAGGGUUAUGCAUAUGCCAGUCCUUACAAUUGUUUUUAUUUUAUUUUAGAGUGCAAUAUGAAUUUGGGUGUAACCAAGCUAUGGUGAGGUCCCCUCCAAAGGAGCAAGAUUAAAUAUGGCUGUAUGAGCCAGCACUAAUCUACUGAGAAGUGGGCAUGCUGGACCAUAGGCAGCCAGCAGUUCGCAGCACAUUGGGGUGCUCCCAUGGCCUGCAGAGAAGAGGGCUACAUGAGACAAGUGUCCCCCUCCAGAGCUUCAAAUGGACCUGAAGCUCCAUGCUUCUCCCCGUGGGAACAAGCUCAAUUUUGUGCUUUGGUCUAAAGAGAGAUCAAGAAGCACUACCAGAACCAGAGCCAGAAAGGAAUGGGUAAUGGGCAAGAUAAGUGAAACAUCAACAUUGCAACAUGGCACCGAUUCAGGAUGCACCAUUGGAUAUUGGACUCAUCAGGCCUUUAGGACACAAGCCAGUCAGUGAACAUCAAGUAUAUUUUUUGAUGAACUAUUUGCAAAUUAGAUGUAUUACAAAUGUUUGCUCAUUUAAUUAGAAUAUAAAAGAUGAUUUCUUUGACUGGACCUUGCUUCUGACCCUUCUUGCCUCUGUGUGGUUUGUAUGGUUCUUGGCUAAUGAGAUAUAGGAUAUGUACUAAACAUUUACACAUUAAAGGCAUCCUUCAUUCAGCAUGAAGGUGUUGAUACAUCAAGGAUACCUCAAACAUGCUGAGAUUCCAGCAACUUGUCAGACAAAUUAGCACCUUACCAAUCGGGGGUAAAAUUGAGUUUCACAUUUCUCCCUGGUGGGAAGAAAAAAAUCAAAAAUCACUGUAGUUUAAUACUUUCUUUGUAAAGAUGAACACAAAAGGCCUUAUCACCUCUGUAGUGUAAAUUAUAGCCCUCACUGACUAUCUAAUUUUUAAUUCAUUGGUUUUAAAUGAUCCUAGGCAGUUUACAGCAAAUCUAUUGUGUCAUUCCUCUCUUAGACUUAAUAGAAGAAAAAUGUCUGCCCUAUCUCUUUUACAAAUAUUUAAACUUUACAUCUGCAUGCAUAUAUAUAUAUAUAUAUAUAUAUAUAUCUCAAAAUGGACGGAAAUCAAAGUCUUAAAUUUGUAUGUUCCAUUAACAUUAACCACCAGCAGCUUUUAACUCAAACUCUAAGGGGUAUGUGGAAUUGAAGGACUGUACAGCAAUGAAACUAUGAUGGUUUAAUUUUUUUCAGCUGACUGGUGCUGAAAAUUAAUGCAUAAAGAUUAGGGUUAGGAUUAGUGCAUGAAGAUGCAGAUUGCUGGCACCCUGCGUGAGACAUUCAGAGCACCAGAAAGACCCACUGCCUGGUAAUGCAGUCUAAUAAAGUAUCCCCAUAGAUUGAGAGUAAAGGUAAAGUCAGCUAUAGGUGCUACAGACACUACAGCAGGACCCAGUGACCAUCCGGUGCCCUUAAAUCACCAAGCAUUACACAGCAUGGACUGAGGAAACCGAGUUGACUACCUACUCAAGAUUUGUGAAGAGAAGGUUACUACCAUAAACCUCAAAGAUGGGAAUUAUUUAUGCAUCCAAUAGCUUUCUGCAAUUUAUGUAGCUGAAACAUUUACCUCACCGUGAACGCAUCACAAAAACACCCAUUUUCCAAAACUGUGAGGUCAGCAAAUGAAAUCAACCUGUAACUUGUGCAGGAGGAGGCCUGAGCUUUCUGCAGAGAUCGGGUGUGUACCCACAAGUCAUUCCUUCCUUUCCCCUUGCCAACUUCCUCAUUCUCACAAGUCUCAAAUUCAGAUUUUUUUUUUUUAAAUAUAGGAAAGAAAUAAGCAGAGGAUCUUCCCAGUUGCAGCUGCUUGAGACUCUUUCAAUAAUUUAGUAAUUAUCAUCAUGCUAAUGGAUUUUGCCAUCAGCCUCUCUCCUUUUAUCAAUAAACCCUAGUAUCUAAACAGAACACACAUCCCUCCCUGUUCCACAGGCAGGGUGACUGUGACCCCACAUCCUCACUUCCCCUCAAAUGUCCUGUAUGCAAUCACCUUUGUUCAGACAUUUCAAGAACAUGCACUUCAGCAUAUUAAAUCUAUGACAGAAAAACAGAAACUGUGUUACCAGAAGCAGCUCCUUAAUUCUAGGGAUGCUAAUUCCCUUCUGCAGAUGUAUUUUUCAGAAUUCUCGAUACAACAAAGUGAGAAGGGAUGUUGUUCGUGCCCAGCAGCCACAACAGGGUAGACAAGGGACACAGCUGCUGAAGCAGACAAGGAAUUGAGCGAUGACUGCCUGGGCAUUACACUGUAAACCAGAUUCUUAUACCAAGAACUUCAUUUAGAAAUCUGGAGAAAACUUAAGAUUAAUUUUGUUCAUACUACAUAUUUGCAUGGAACUUUGGAGCAAGGCUCCUGCUCAGCAACAUACACUACGUAUAUUAAAACCCUUGCACACUUUUUCGCCUUAAGGUUAAAAAUAUCUGAAAGAGAAAGACAUCACAUUUUUAACUGCUUAAGAGAGAAAGAAAUAUUGGCUCCCAUAUAUAGAGUGACAUGAUUUAUAAAUAUGUGGUUAAAAAGAACUGAUUUACAGACAGGGUCGUGAAUCUGUAGCUAAGUGUUUUAGCAUUUAACUAAAACAAUAACAGCCAGCACUAAUUGCAUGUGGUCUGUUGCACAGCUACCGGAAUCAAAUAGUAAAGAGGAUCACAGUUCCUUAUUAGUUAGGACCACCUAGGGUGAUGGAAAGCCUCAAUGAUCAAAGAGAAGACAUUUUUAUGCUGCAAAUGUUGAUAUACUCUUGAGCUUUCCACCACAGUUUAAGAUCCGGUAUGAACACUUGACAACACACUAACAUAACAUACUGAACAGGACAACACACGUGAUAUUAGACUACACAAGUUUUGCUUGCUGGAAAAAGAAGUGAAUAAGAUUCAGUAUUAUUUUCGUUUUCCCUACUGUAUCGCAGAAUAGUUCUCUAUUAUUACCAGGGUGAUUUAUUUUCACCUACUUGAAUCAAAACUAAACUAGCUUUUGUUCCUAACACCGUAUCAUGAGAUCCCAUCACUGCUAUCCAGUGAUCACUGGAUAGAUGAUGUAAAACAACAGCCUUCAUUUAUCUGUAGAAAUGCAAAGCAAUCCAGUGUGAUUACUUACCGUUUGUAACUUGGCCAUCCAGGAGCAUGGAGUUGUUUCUGUCUUGGCUGAAUAGCUGAAAUGUUUGGAAGAGAAUAAUUUAAUGUAUGUGCGGUAUUCCAAGUGACUAUAAUUACUAAGAGAUAUUUUCAUUUUUAAAUUUAUAACUGCACUUUCUUUGUUUAUUGUUGUUGUUCAGUCUCCUGCCUUCAAUAGAUCACGACUUCUGAUGCUGUAAUUCAUUGCAGACUACUCUGUGUUAUAGAGAAAAACCUUAUGGUUCAAGUGAAAGAGGUUGAAAAGAAAUCAGCGUUAAAAAACAUGAACAUGAAUUUUAAAUUCUAUUUUUACAAAAUAUCAUCUAUCAUUAAAAGCUAUCAUUAAAUCAUAGCAGGAACCUAAGAGAGCUUUCAUUUAAUGUAACAAAGAGACGUAAGGAGACAGACAGAUAGCACAGUGCUUCCAAUAAGAGCAAAUUUUACUGAACAAAGAGUAUAGCAGCUGACCUUGUGGCUGUAAUGGAGGUGUGGGAAGAAGGAAGAUUGCUUAACUGGCAGAAGAAACACUGAUUUCAUCCUUGUGUAAUUAUCCCACACACACUGAGAAUGGUUGCAUACCUUCUGCUCUGCUUUGAUGCAAUUAUUAGCGUGUGCUUAUGGUCCAUAUAUAUAUAUAUGCACUUCAGACACUGAGCUACGCUCCAUUCAAAGCAGUUUAGCAUUCAGCUCUGAAAGCUCUUCAGAACUCUUGACUUGAACACCUCUAAAGCCUUCAAAAUCAACUCUGCACCAACCCCAUGUUUAACGUUCAGAUCUCAUUAGUUUUGGCUAGGAAUGCUCUCUAAUUACUAAGAGAGUUUUCUCAAGUUGCACUUUAGAAAUUCAUCUUUUUUUGUACACUGUAAAGUAUUCAUAAAAAGCUAAAAACUGUGGGAAAAUUAGCAUUGAUGGAUGUUUUCUUACCCUCCACCAGGAAAUGAUGUACUUGAAACUCAUUACAGAUCUUCAUAGAAACUCUGCUGAAUGUGCCUUGGGCUUUGUGCUGAUCAGCACACACUGAGCUUACUGCAUAAUUCAUCUCUCUUGUGUCACAUUUAAUGUAUAACAUGCAUUUCCUGUUAAUUAUGAAAAUAAAGAUGCGUUCUUUCUUUUAGAAACAUAAUCAUUAAAUUACUAC
ensembl:lncRNA